AUUGAACGCCGGCGGCAUGCUUAACACAUGCAAGUCGAACGGAAACGAUGGAGCUUGCUCCAGGCGUCGAGUGGCGGACGGGUGAGUAACGCAUGGGAAUCUGCCUUUUGCUGGGGGAUAACGUAGGGAAACUUACGCUAAUACCGCAUAAGACCUAAGGAUGAAAGCGGGGGACCGAAAGGCCUCGCGGCAAGAGAUGAGCCCAUGUUGGAUUAGCUAGUUGGUGGGGUAAAGGCCUACCAAGGCGACGAUCCAUAGCUGGUCUGAGAGGAUGAUCAGCCACACUGGGACUGAGACACGGCCCAGACUCCUACGGGAGGCAGCAGUGGGGAAUAUUGGACAAUGGGGGGAACCCUGAUCCAGCAAUGCCGCGUGUGUGAAGAAGGCCUUCGGGUUGUAAAGCACUUUCAGUAGGGAGGAAAGGUGCGUAGUUAAUACCUGCGCAAUUGACGUUACCUACAGAAGAAGCACCGGCUAACUCCGUG
rnacentral:rRNA from 1 species